GAAUUUUCGGCAAUGGGGGGAACCCUGACCGAGCAAUGCCGCGUGAACGAUGAAGAUCUUCGGAUUGUAAAGUUCUGUUAUUAGGAAAGAACAGCAUAACUAGGAAAUGAGUUAUGUUUGACGGUACUUAAUGAGAAAGCCCCGGCUAACUAUGUGCCAGCCGCCGCGGUAAUACAUAGGGGGCAAGCGUUAUCCGGAAUUAUUGGGCGUAAAGCGUGCGUAGGCGGCUUAUUAAGUCUGACGUGAAAUUCCACAGCUUAACUGUGGAGGGUCGUUGGAAACUGGUAGGCUUGAGUACAGUAGAGGUAAGUGGAAUUCCAAGUGGAGCGGUGGAAUGCGUAGAUAUUUGGAGGAACACCAGUGGCGAAGGCGGCUUACUGGGCUGGAACUGACGCUGAUGCACGAAAGCGUGGGGAGCAAACA
rnacentral:rRNA from 1 species